rnacentral:rRNA from 1 species
UACGGAGGGUGCAAGCGUUAAUCGGAUUUACUGGGCGUAAAGCGUGCGCAGGCGGUUUGUUAAGUCAGAUGUGAAAGCCCCGGGCUCAACCUGGGAAUUGCAUUUGAUACUGGCAAACUAGAGUACGAGAGAGAGAAGUGGAAUUUCUGGUGUAGCGGUGAAAUGCGUAGAUAUCAGAAGGAACACCAAUGGCGAAGGCAACUUCUUGGCUCGAUACUGACGCUCAUGUACGAAAGCGUGGGGAGCAAACAGG